rnacentral:rRNA from 1 species
GAAACCGAGUGAUCUAGCCAUGACCAGGUUGAAGUUGGGGUAAAACCCGAUGGAGGACCGAACCGACCCCCGUUGAAACGUUGGCGGAUGAGUUGUGGCUAGGGGUGAAAUUCCAAUCGAACUCGGAGAUAGCUGGUUCUCCCCGAAAUAGCUUUAGGGCUAGCGUCGAGGUAAAGUCGUGUGAAGGUAGAGCACUGAAUAUGUGAUGGCCCCAUCCCGGGGUACUGAAUAUAAUCAAACUCCGAAUGUCACAAAGAUAUACUCGGCAGUCAGACAGUGGGUGAUAAGGUCCAUUGUCAAAAGGGAAACAGCCCAGACCAUCAGCUAAGGUCCCAAAAUAUAUACUAAGUGGAAAAGGAUGUGGAGAUGUCCAGACAACUAGGAGGUUGGCUCAGAAGCAGCCAUCCUUUAAAGAGUGCGUAACAGCUCACUAGUCGAAUGACUCUGCGCCGAUAAUUUACCGGGGCUAAGUAUAUUACCGAAGCUAUGGAUUUACGCAGAUGCGUGAGUGGUAGGGGAGCGUUCUAUGUACAGAGAAGCGGUACCGGAAGGAGCCGUGGAGAGCAUAGAAGAGAGAAUGCCGGUGUGAGUAGCGGAACGCGGGUGAGAAUCCCGCGCACCGAAAACCCAAGGUUUCCAGAGGAAGGUUCGUCCGCUCUGGGUAAGUCGGGACCUAAGGCGAGGCCGAGAGGCGUAGUCGAUGGACAACAGGUAGAGAUUCCUGUACUUACGGUAUGAAUGAAGGAGUGACGGAGAAGGCUAGCGGAUCCUGCUGCUGGAAUAGCAGGUGCAAGCGAGGUAGCUGACAGYCAGGCAAAUCCGGCUGUCGAAAGGCGAAGACGUGAAGCGGAUGGAAAGCUGAGGCAAGUACAGAAGUCCGUGAAGCAGGCUUCCAAGAAAAGCUUCUAGUGUUAAUCAUACAGUAACCCGUACCGAAAAUGGACACACAUGGGUGAGGAGAGAAUCCUAAGGUGAGCGAGAGAACUAUAGCUAAGGAACUCUGCAAAAUGACUCCGUAACUUAGGGAUAAGGAGUGCUCAUAGAGAUAUGAGCCGCAGUGAAACGGCCCAAGCGACUGUUUACCAAAAACACAGCUCUAUGCUAAGUCGAAAGACGACGUAUAUGGGGUGACGCCUGCCCGGUGCUGGAAGGUUAAGAGGAUGUGUCAGCGAAAGCGAAGCAUUGAAUUGAAGCCCCAGUAAACGGCGGCCGUAACUAUAACGGUCCUAAGGUAGCGAAAUUCCUUGUCAGGUAAGUUCUGACCCGCACGAAAGGCGUAACGAUUUGGGCGCUGUCUCAGCUGUAGACUCGGUGAAGUCUUAGUACCUGUGAAGAUGCAGGUUACCCGCGACUAGACGGAAAGACCCCAUGGAGCUUUACUGCAGCUUGAUAUUGGACUUUGAUGCAAGAUGUACAGGAUAGGUAGGAGACUGAGAGACAUGCACGCCAGUGUGUGAGGAGUCGAUGUUGGGAUACUACUCUUCUUGUAUUGGAGUUCUAACCGGAUGCCAUGGAACUGGCAACGGGACAGUGUCAGGCGGGCAGUUUGACUGGGGCGGUCGCCUCCCAAAGAGUAACGGAGGCGCCCAAAGAUACCCUCAGCUUGGAUGGAAAUCAAGCGCAGAGUGCAAAGGCAAAAGGGUGUUUGACUGCGAGACCAACAAGUCGAGCAGGGACGAAAGUCGGGCUUAGUGAUCCGGCGGUGCUGAAUGGAAAGGCCGUCGCUCAACGGAUAAAAGCUACCCUGGGGAUAACAGGCUGAUCUCCCCCAAGAGUUCACAUCGACGGGGAGGUUUGGCACCUCGAUGUCGGCUCAUCGCAUCCUGGAGCUGAAGUCGGUUCCAAGGGUUGGGCUGUUCGCCCAUUAAAGCGGUACGCGAGCUGGGUUCAGAACGUCGUGAGACAGUUCGGUCCCUAUCYGUCGYGGGCGYAGGAARUUUGAGARGAYCUGUCCUYAGUACGAGAGGACCGGGAUGGACAUAYCRMUGGUGYACCAGUUGUYMCGCCAGKRGCACMGCUGGGUAGCUAWRUAUGGAAGGGAUAAACGCUGAAGGCAUCUAAGUGUGAAACCCGCUUCAAGAUGAGACUUCCCAUUACGAAAGUAGGUAAGACCCCUUAAAGACGAUAAGGUUGAUAGGUCAGGAGUGUAAGCAUGGCGACAUGUUAAGCGGACUGAUACUAAUAGGUCGAGGACUUAACCUAG